UACGUAGGGUGCGAGCGUUGUCCGGAAUUACUGGGCGUAAAGAGCUCGUAGGCGGUUUGUCGCGUUGUUCGUGAAAACUCACAGCUUAACUGUGGGCGUGCGGGCGAUACGGGCAGACUGGAGUACUGCAGAGGAGACUGGAAUUCCUGGUGUAGCGGUGGAAUGCGCAGAUAUCAGGAGGAACACCAGUGGCGAAGGCGGUGGUCUGGGCCGGAACUGACGCUGAGGAGCGAAAGCGUGGGUAGCAAACAGG
rnacentral:rRNA from 1 species